UGCCCACCCCCGGACUCGAACCGGGAACACCGCGGAUCUAAGCCGCGUGCCUCUUGCCAGUUGGGCUAGACGGGC
rnacentral:tRNA from 1 species